rnacentral:piRNA from 1 species
UCAGGUUCAAUCCUUUAACAU